GAGGGGAUAGCUCAAAUGGUAGAGCAUGUGCUUAGCAUGCAUGAGGUCCUGGGUUCAAUCCCCAGUACUUCU
rnacentral:tRNA from 1 species